AACGCUGCGUUUCUAUGCUACCGACGGAGAGUCUUGCCUCAGCAUUUCUUUCACCCAUGGCAUAUGAGAAAUUCGGAGAAAUCGCUUCACUUCAAUCACCCCUCUGAUCGCGUCAGGGUGGGCUCACUUCGGUGGUCUCGCUUGACAAGAUUAUGGCAAUGCUGCCGGCAACGGCCUCGCGCCACACCGCGUGUGUAAUUGGCAUCAGAAAAGCAGGCUUCUUUCCUGCGCGCGCUAAGACAAGCUGGUGUGUAAGUCGUCCUCUGGGAGAGCCAUUACGAAGCUUGUGGGUAGAACCACUUGAGUGCAAUACGCAGCGUGCAGUGUCCGUCUUCUCUGGGAGACAGACCUGUACAAUCCGAUUCCGAUUACUUUGUU
rnacentral:RNase_P_RNA from 2 species